ACCCACUUUGGACAAUUUUAAGGGACAAAACUCUGCAAGUCAUUUGAGGAGAGUUUUGCCACUCAUGAUUAUUGAGUUACAUCCCCUGGACUUCCUUUUCCUAUUUCAUCUACUUUUGAACCUGUGGAUGUUGAACAGCAGCCUUCUCAAAGAGCAUCCUCAAGCAUCAGCAAAAAUGUUGAGGAAUUAUGUAAAGAAGAGAGCGCCAUACAGCAAGGAGGCAAUGCAGAAUGCAAUCGCAGCUGUGCAGUCUGGUACAAUGGGUUGCCAUCAACCUCAUCAACACCUACACCGUUGAGGCCAGUGACCCCAGUGGAACCAGCAACCAGACCCAGCAUAAAGGACUUUUUACUUUUUUAUUUAAAAAAUUUCCCCUAUGUUACAAGCCAAGAGAGAAAAAACCAACUGGAAAACUGUUAAACGCCAGUAUGGCGAAAGUUUGACCAGUUUUGAGUACAUUCAUUCAAAGAAUAUCAGAGGAGGAGGAGAAGAAGAA